rnacentral:rRNA from 1 species
UACGAAGGGGGCUAGCGUUGCUCGGAAUUACUGGGCGUAAAGCGCACGUAGGCGGCUUUCUAAGUCAGGGGUGAAAUCCUGGAGCUCAACUCCAGAACUGCCUUUGAUACUGAGAAGCUUGAGUCCGGGAGAGGUGAGUGGAACUGCGAGUGUAGAGGUGAAAUGCGUAGAUAUCGGGAGGAACACCUGUGGCGAAGGCGGCCACCUGGUUGGAUACUGACGCUGAGACGCGAAAGCGUGGGGAGCAAACAGG